CCCCCGCUCGAGCUCUCCCUCCGCCGCACAUGCUGCUCCCCACGCCGGCCACGUGCUCUCCAGCCGGCGGGGCCGUCGCAUCCUCUCUAUCUCCCGUCCACCGCUAACCCCACUCCACAUUGCCGCCGGUGGUACCCCGUACACCAUACUGCCGCCGCCUCCACCGGUGGUCUUGCCGUCGCCCUCCAAACCCUGCCGGGAGCUUCCCUUUUCGUCCGCGCCCAAGCUCACCAUCUCCUGGAGGUGCUGCCGGCCAAGAAGUGCCUGGCAAAAGAAGGGGGCCAAACCUACUAACCAGCGGGAUCCGAACGACAUGUGGAUUUCCAAAAGGUGCAACUAGCAUGGACAAAGAUUGGAUGGAUACACCUAGAUUCUCUCUUACAUAUGCAUACAAGGUCAAUGAAAAUCCAAUCAAGUUGCAAGGAAGAUUGAUCUAUGUAAUAAUGAAAGACAUGCAAGCGGAGGAGGAACCAUGAAGCCGGCGGUUCAGGAUAUUUUGUGUAGUGGUGAUUGAAUCAUUGGUGAUGAAUUUUAUCUAUCAUUUUGUAAACCCACAUUGUGUUUGAGACAAUGAACCUUAAUGUUUCCUCUAGUUAAUUAGUUAUAUUAGCUUAUGGGAAAUUUUGAAAGUCAUUAUGUUGAUAACGGAUGAAGUAUUUACAUGUGAAAUUAAUUAAUAUGUGUUUCUA